GCCGACAUAGCUCAGAUGGAAGAGCGCCGUUCUUGUAAUUCGGAUGUCGCGGGUUCGAUCCCUGCUGUCGGCUCCA
rnacentral:tRNA from 1 species